GAUCCUGGCUCAGGAUGAACGCUGGCGGCGUGCCUAAUACAUGCAAGUCGAACGAGGGUGCUUGCACCCUAGUGGCGAACGGGUGAGUAACACGUAGGUAACCUGCCCUUAAGCUUGGGAUACCCAGAGGAAACUUUGGCUAAUACCGGAUAACAACGGAAGAGGCAUCUCUUCAGUUUGAAAGGCCCUUUACGGGGUCACUUAGGGAUGGACCUGCGGCGCAUUAGCUAGUUGGUGAGAUAACAGCCCACCAAGGCGAGGAUGCGUAGCCGACCUGAGAGGGUGAUCGGCCACAUUGGAACUGAGACACGGUCCAAACUCCUACGGGAGGCAGCAGUAAGGAGUUUUCGGCAAUGGGGGAAACCCUGACCGAGCAACGCCGCGUGAGUGAAUGACGGCCCUAUGGGUUGUAAAGCUCUGUUGUAAGGGACGAAUGAUUCGCUUAGGAAAUGAAGCGGAUUUGACGGUACCUUACCAGAAAGCCACGGCUAACUACGUGCCAGCCGCCGC
rnacentral:rRNA from 1 species